rnacentral:rRNA from 1 species
GACGAACGCUGGCGGCGUGCCUAAUACAUGCAAGUUGAGCGCUGAAGGUUGGUACUUGUACCAACUGGAUGAGCAGCGAACGGGUGAGUAACUCGUGGGGAAUCUGCCUUUGAGCGGGGGACAACAUUUGGAAACGAAUGCUAAUACCGCAUAAAAACUUUAAACACAAGUUUUAAGUUUGAAAGAUGCAAUUGCAUCACUCAAAGAUGAUCCCGCGUUGUAUUAGCUAGUUGGUGAGGUAAAGGCUCACCAAGGCGAUGAUACAUAGCCGACCUGAGAGGGUGAUCGGCCACAUUGGGACUGAGACACGGCCCAAACUCCUACGGGAGGCAGCAGUAGGGAAUCUUCGGCAAUGGACGAAAGUCUGACCGAGCAACGCCGCGUGAGUGAAGAAGGUUUUCGGAUCGUAAAACUCUGUUGGUAGAGAAGAACGUUGGUGAGAGUGGAAAGCUCAUCAAGUGACGGUAACUACCCAGAAAGGGACGGCUAACUACGUG